GAGCGCGUAGCUCAGCCGGUAGAGCAUCUGACUUUUAAUCAGGAGGUCCUGGGUUCGAGUCCCAGCGCGCUCACCA
rnacentral:tRNA from 4 species